rfam:Loktanella sp. S4079 contig0002, whole genome shotgun sequence.
UGGUCAUCAGUUCACCAAGGCGUCGCCGAUCCGACUGGAUCACGCUAAACCUGAUA